GCGCGAAGGCCCACAGCACCCCGCGAGGCCGCAGCAGCUCUCGGGCCUCACUGUCCCUUCUGCUACUGCUGCUGGAGCGGGGAUUUGACUUCCAGGAGGCCGAGGUCCUUCCAUGGGCCUAGCUGGCCCUGGUGGCCUGGUUAACGUGGAGGAGGAAGGCAGGCUGAGGCGGGAAGAGGUGGAGACUGGCCUAGGCAGUGGUCGUUGGCAGGCAGGGUCGCAGGCCCGCAGCUGGGCGGGGAGGGCCGACUUGAAACUUGUCAAUACCAGCAGCCCCCUUUUUUUCCAGACAAAGGGUUGUGAACCUGCCUGGGGAUGAAGCCUGGUCUUAAGGAAACUGGACUUGGCUUCGCGGGCCGGGCCUGACAGCUCUGGCCCAGGGUGGUAUGUAAACAGGGCUCACCCCGGAGCCCAGGAGGUGAAGGGUGGCCUGAGGAGUGAUCACGAUCCAGUGUGCCAUUGCCACCUGUUAACUGGGGGCUGCUGAGGCAGGCUGCUUGUGUCUGGGGAAAAUAUUGACCAACCCUUUAUUUUCCAGGUGGCAGUACCCUCCCCUCUGGACUUCCCUAGGUUCGAUGCUAAACUCUUCUGUGAGCUCACUCUACCCCUCCUCCUCCCUCUAACUCUCUUGAGGUUAUCCCUUCACUUAAAACCUUGCCUCUGGUCAUCUGGUAAGCCUGGUGAAGUCGCAGGAGUGUUCUUGGACUCGGUAUUGUUGGUAAUGGUGCAGAAGGAAAGGCCUUCCCGGUGGAGCCUCUGGGGGGUGGGUUGGUGUUGCUUUUGGAGAGGGUGGGGAUUGAAUGUGCUCCCCUGGGUGGGGCUGCAGCAGUGGUUCCAGCAGAAGUCACCCAAUGCCUCAUGGACCUGGUUUGUUACUGUAGUGUUCAUCAUGGCGAGCAGAUGGCACCAGGACAAAUGGAGCCCCAGCCAGUGUGAGUCGUAGCAGUGCAGGAGGGGAGACCCUGAAGGAGACAGCCCGCUUAAGUUGAUGCCUGCAGAUUGAAUUCCAGAGGCUUAGGAGGAGGAGCAGUUCUCCAGUGUCUUGUGUCCAGGCCUUGCUCAGGAUCCCUGUAUUCAGGAGGCCAACCGUUAAGGUUUUCAGAUGAGCUUGUGGGGGGCAGUUCACAAGUCCAAAGCAGAUGCAUCGGCUUGAGGGGCCAUCACCUUUGAAUGUUUCAGCAGCACCAUCCUCCAGGCACAGGAAUGCCAGCAGGCACCCCUCUUGUCCUGGGGGUGGUUUUCAGAUGCUGCAUCUUCUAAAUUGAGCCUCUGGUCCUUCUAGUUCUGUGCUGUGAACUUUGCUUCCAGAAGAUUCUUAAGUUAUAGAACAUUUUAAAGUUGAUCCAACAACCAGCCUGAUGCCUUUUAGAUGGCACUUGGAGAUGGAGCCCAGGGACCUCUCACCUACCCACCUGCUUACCUGCCUUCCUGUCUGCACAUUGGCCGGAGGAAUUCUUAGUGUGAUGAUAAAGCUUUUGAUUGUUGGGGGGCGGGGCAGGGAGCUGUUCAAUUUUAAAUGCUUUAGGCAGAGGGAAUUUGUUAGCUAGGUAGAUUGUCAAUCUGUGGGGGCUCAUGUGUUGAGCUAAAGUGGGAGGGGACAAGCCGGUCAUGCCCAGGAGCUGUGUGUUGGUAGGGGGUCUUGUCUGGGCAUUCUAAUGGCAUAGAACCUUACAAGAAGGGAAUGGUGGGCCCACCAGUAGUGGGUGGGUCAUGGGUGUUUUGUUUUCUGGUGCUGCAGAUUGAACAGGGCCUUGGGCAUUUUAGGCAAAUGCUCAGCCAUUGAGCUACAAUCCCAGCCCAGUUAUUUGCCAGUUAUUUGAUUCUCCCCCACACUUUUUUUUAUACAUCUCAGAGUAUUCUUGUCAUUCCCUCUGGGGGAGGGACGGGGGGGGGGGCAAGGGCUGGUGGGGAUGCAGUGCUGGGAGCAUGAGGGUGUGGGAUGUGGGUUGAGAGAAAGUAUGGGCAGAGAUCUGAGGAAUUUCAUAGAAUUUGUGAGUGAAGAAAACACUAGUUAAUGGUAAAUUAUUGGUUAAAUGGUUGCAUAUAAGCAGUGAAAGUUGCUUGGAAAUUUUUAUAAAAGUGCUUAGAACUUCAAGGAAAGUUCAAGAAAAAAAGCAAAAUUGUUUUGCUUUGCUCUAAAGUGGGGAAGACUGAGAAGGUAUAACUGAAAACAAGAAUAUUUAGUUACUUGAAAAAUGACAUGGAACUUGGUGUCAAAACUGAGUUUUAAACUCAAGUAUGCACUUACGAUGAGAUUAAUAUGGACUUUUCUGGGUUUGUAAUUCAUAUUUUGUCAUGGAGAUCUCAGUGAUUCAAAAUUCUGAACAAAAUGGAAAUGCUUUUGGAGAGGGUGGGGAUUGAAUGUGCUCCCCUGGGUGGGGCUGCAGCAGUGGUUCCAGAAGAAGUCACCCAAUGCCUCAUUGAUGUGAAUUGUUACUGUAGUGAGACAAAUGGAAAUGCUUUUGGAGAGGGUGGAGAUUAAAUGAUUUUUAAAGGAAUUUCAUAAGAAGUGCCUUAUAGAUUUUUCUGUGUUUGGUCAAAACCAUAAUAGCAAAAGUUUUGCUUACUUAACUAUAGUCUUGAAAUCAGUCAUUGUAACAAGGAAAACCUUUUGUGGUCACAGUGAAAUUACUAUGUUUGUUAGCAAUCAGAAUUAUUAAUGAAUAAUCUAUUGUAUUUUUAGUUUAAAUGAUCCAGGACUGGGGGGGGGGAAUGUCAGUCAAAACCAGUUUAGGAAAUAAAAGCAAACUGGGCAGAAGGGGCCAGCUUAAGAGGCAGGCUGUAAGAGCUCCUGUGAAACUCGAUUUGCUUCUGAGCUGAUUUUGUUGAAAUGAUAGAGUAACUCCAGUGGGCUUCAUCCUGUUUUUCCUCCAAAUUUGAACACUUUAAAUACCCAAUACCUUUUAUCCUUAGGACUUUUCCUGUGUUCUGGGUUCCUUUUUUUUUAUGCUUAAAAAUGCAUUGGUAUGGUACUUCAGUUCUUAGCUGGUGACUUGGGUGUGAUACAAUUACUGUCAUUGGAACUUAAAGUAUAUUAGUCAUGCUUGUGUGGGGAAAUAUUUCUGGGUAUGCUGUUGUGUAAUGAAAGCUGUAAAAACAGGUGGUUAAAGUACUUGUUUGUAAGGCACGCACUGUUCUGUUCUGUUCUGUGUGUGGUUUCUAACCAUUUUUCUUCCCCUUUACAGCACAAAUAAAGGUUUGAGUUCCAAACUCCUUAGAAUGGUCUUAUUGCUGUUAUGUUGCCCGACUGUCCUGUCACCUCUGAAGGUGGAUGUGUCCCUGUCCUCAGAUUGUAGACUGAGGCCUAGAUUCAUGUUCACUAGUUAGCUCCAAAUGUAAUCUUCACUGAAAGGGAACUGGUACGUCCUGAGUACAAACUGGUGCCUCAGGAGGAGGGUUGUGCACUGUUGAGAGCUAGUAAUGUUUGUGCAAAUGUAAUCCUGAACCACAUGAAGAUGAGUGUCUAGGUGGGAGAGUACGUACUUUAUAAUCUAGAACAUUCUCUGGUCAUAUUUUCAAAUGGCAUCUAUUUUGUUGGGGGAAAACAUUCUAAAUAAGAAUAAAAUUGACAUGUAAUAUGUUUAUUUAGUUUGCAUUCUUUGGGAGGCUGGCAUGUAUCUGUUUAAGCACAUAAUUCUCAUGUUCUCUUUUGGUACAUGACUAAAAAGUUUGGGCUUAUGUAAGUGCUCUAUUGAGCCAGCAAGGUUUUCUGAUGGGUGGGGAGGAAUCUUGAGUGUGUGUCAUGUAAACUGAUCUGCAUCCUGGGUGGGGAAGUGGCAGCAGUGACUCAUCCUGACACUUGUAUUUUUAUGUGCUCUCCUGUGUACCAGCUUAGAAGAGUUGGAAUAGAACACCACUGGCCUUCCCUGAGGGAAGUGUCCAAGGGAGGGAGAGGAAAGCUGGGCGUGCUUGCUAGGGAGGGAGAGGACCGAUGGACUGGGACCAGAGCACAGGGAGUUGAGCUACAGGUCAGCCACUGUCUACCUAGUUCUGAGGGUCUCUUGGUGACCCCUCCCUUGAGCACUACUGAGAACCCCCAGAAGAGAAAGGUCAUGUGCCACUAGAAGGCCCUCCGUCUGGUCUCUUGGCACUGCCAGUGGGGGCCACUGCUGUGAGCAAUAGUGGUGUCUACAAAUAGCAAAGUUGAACUUGAAGUUCUUUUAUAAAUGAAAGUAGCCUGAGGGCAGGUAUGGACUGAGAGUCCUGGGCGCCCAGGCUGGAGCCCCCGAGAAGUGGCCUGUUACAAAAAGGGGUGAGACAGUCACUGCCCCCAACACCACCCUGUUGGCCACCCUCUGUUGGUCUUACUGAUCCUGAGAGACUGCAAGGACCUCUAAUGCCAGGUGAGGAGGAAGGCUAGCCUCUGGCCCAUUGGUGCCCAAUGUGGUGUUGGGUUGUGUCGAAGGAGGAGACGCUAAAACAGGUGCACAGACAUUUGUGGAGUGUUUGUUUUGUUUUGUUUUUGAGAGGCUAUGUUUUUUUAUUUGUUCUUUUUAGGUAUACAUGAUAGUAGAAUGUAUUUUGACAUCAUACAUGGAGUAUAACUCCCUGUUGUGGUUGUACAUGAUGUGAAGUUUCACUGGUUGUGCAUUCAUAGAUAAACAUAGGAAAGUUAUAUCCCAUUGAUUCUACUGUCUUAUUGUGGAGUGUUUUAAAUACAGUACAUACACGGGUGCAGAAUGGCAAGGGGAAGCAAAGGGUGUCCUCGCCCUGCCUGCUGGGGCCUCUGACCUUGACCUGCACCUUCCCCGUUCCUGACUGCUCACUGUUCUCACAUCUAAAGGGUUUACCAUAAAGUUUGCAAAAAACAAAUUGAAAAUCUUCAGUAAUCUUCAGUUAACAAGUGUUACUGGUGUAUUUGCAUCUGGGUUUUUGUUUAUCUUUUUAUUUUGUCCUUAUGCAUCAGAUAUCUGUGUUUUAUUCAAAAAUGAGAUUAUAUUUAAAUUCUGUUUGACUCUUUCCUUUAUAUGUAGUGGACAUCGAGUCAUUUGAAGCAUCGUUUUCAUUGUUGACAAUGUUCUGGUUCUUGCAAGGCUGUAUUAACUUAAACAAUCUCAUUUAGAUGAGCAGGUUAUGUCCCAGGGUUUUGUUUUAUUCCACUCAGGAAAUAAAAGUUUUGAUGAUGUUCCAUGUAAAUAAAACUUUAUCACAUCUGUUGUUACUUAUCCAAGAUGAAUAUAUAUCUAGAAGGGAA
rnacentral:lncRNA from 1 species